rnacentral:rRNA from 1 species
AGAGUUUGAUCCUGGCUCAGGAUGAACGCUAGCGGCAGGCCUAAUACAUGCAAGUCGAACGGCAAGAGUUCUAGCAAUAGAAUUCCUAGAGUGGCGAACGGGUGCGUAACGCGUAUGCAACCUACCCCAUACAGGGAGAUAGCCCGGAGAAAUCUGGAUUAAUACCCCAUGGCAUCAUUGAGCUGCAUGGUUUAAUGAUUAAAGAUUCAUCGGUAUGGGAUGGGCAUGCGUCUGAUUAGCUAGUUGGUGAGGUAAUGGCUCACCAAGGCUACGAUCAGUAGGGGUUCUGAGAGGAAGGUCCCCCACACUGGCACUGAGAUACGGGCCAGACUCCUACGGGAGGCAGCAGUAGGGAAUAUUGGGCAAUGGACGAGAGUCUGACCCAGCCAUGCCGCGUGCAGGAAGACGGCGUUCUGCGUUGUAAACUGCUUUUAUCUGGGAAGAAAAUGCCCUUGCGAGGGAAAUUGCCGGUACCAGAUGAAUAAGCACCGGCUAACUCCGUGCCAGCAGCCGCGGUAAUACGGAGGGUGCAAGCGUUGUCCGGAUUUAUUGGGUUUAAAGGGUGCGUAGGCGGCUGAUUAAGUCAGUGGUGAAAGUUUUGGGCUCAACCCAGAAAUUGCCAUUGAUACUGGUCGGCUUGAGUAUUGGAGGGGUACAUGGAAUUGAUGGUGUAGCGGUGAAAUGCAUAGAUACCAUCAGGAACACCGAUAGCGAAGGCAUUGUACUGGCCAAUAACUGACGCUGAUGCACGAAAGCAUGGGUAGCGAACAGGAUUAGAUACCCUGGUAGUCCAUGCCGUAAACGAUGAUUACUCGCUGUUAUGCUCUGGUAGUGUAGCGGCCAAGCGAAAGCGUUAAGUAUCCCCCUGG